ensembl:lncRNA
GCUUCAGUUUCAGUAUUUUUAUCAGUCCUUUUGAAAAAUAUUAGGUGAGCUACACUCUUCUGUUUCUGAGAAACCUUAAACAUCAUUAUAGAGCUCUGCCCUUGUUCAUGUUGUAGAGGAGCAUCAACUGUGGAACAUUUUAAAGGACUAUGACUGUUUUAGAUGUUUUUAAUCUGUUAACCUCCACCAGGUUAGCAGUAAGCAGUCUAGGAUUAUAGGUCGGGUUAGUAUUUGACAUAUUCAAGUUGGAAAAUUUGACAAAUGUUUAUGUUAUUAUUCUGUAGGAUGUAUUCUGGGAUGUUUUUAACCUUGUUCCACUCCAGUGGUAUACUCAUCUCAUUUUGAUGCACCACAGUCACAUUAUUAACACUUUGUGGAGCUAAAGAUAACAGAGGAAAGUGGCUUUGAUUAAAAAAAACACACAAAAAAAAAAACAACAACUCUCCAUCAGCUAAAGUUUCAAGUACUAAUGAGCUGGUCCAUCCUGGUUUAUCUGUCUAUGUUAGAGAAAAUAUAUCUUACCAGUGACUGUGAUGCAGUUUACUCCACUGCUUCUGACAUUUCCAAACACAGUGAAGAGAGUGAAAGUGUAUCUGGUUCCACUGGUCAAAUUUAACACUCUGUAUUCGUUUUCAGAAUUACUAAUAUUGAUCUCUCUUUCAUUAAAUGCAAGAAUGUAUUUGUCGAUGUUGGGGACUGUUUUCCACUCCAGAGUUAUGCUGGUCUCAUCUUGUCCAUUUUUCUUAAAGUCGUCAGCAUUACGAGG